rnacentral:lncRNA from 1 species
ACAUUUUACAACUUGCCAACAUGCAUAAUUUCAUCCAGCAUACUCCACAAUGCCAACAUGCAUAUUCCAUUUAUCAUAUUCCACAAUAUAUCUAUAUACAUAUACCAACUAGCAUAUUUCCAUAAUGUUAUCAUUCAUAUGCCAUCCAACAUGUACCAGGAUUUAUCAACAUGCAUAUUACCUCUAACAUAUACUAACAAUAUGUCAACAUGCAUCUAUCCUUUAGUUCUCCAAUGGUAGUCAAUACAUGUAGUAUAUAUCUCAUGCUUUCAACUAGCAUCAAUCACAUGCAUUUAUGUCCACAAUUACAACCACUAUAUGCAUCACUUAUGAACCACAAUUCACUUUGACAUGGAAGUGAGCUAGACAUUUCGGUGAGCACAACCCACCUAAAAUCGCUUUCCGAUUGCUUGUAGUCACUUGCAAUCGGCCUCCCACGGCACACGUGACCCGGUUCGGCUCGAACUCGCACUCGACCACCUAACGGCCACCAAUCCGCAAUCCAGUAAUUAAAGGUCUAUAACUUAAUGCCACGUUGCUCCGGAU